rnacentral:rRNA from 1 species
GGGGACAACCAGCCGAAAGGUUGGCUAAUACCGCAUGAGUUCUACGGAAGAAAGAGGGGGACCCGCAAGGGCCUCUCGCGAGCGGAGCGGCCGAUGACUGAUUAGCCUGUUGGUGAGGUAACGGCUCACCAAAGCAACGAUCAGUAGCUGGUCUGAGAGGACGACCAGCCACACUGGGACUGAGACACGGCCCAGACUCCUACGGGAGGCAGCAGUGGGGAAUUUUGGACAAUGGGCGCAAGCCUGAUCCAGCUAUUCCGCGUGUGGGAUGAAGGCCCUCGGGUUGUAAACCACUUUUGUAGAGAACGAAAAGACACCUUUUAAAAAAGGGUGUUGCUGACGGUACUCUAAGAAUAAGCACCGGCUAACUACGUGCCAGCAGCCGCGGUAAUACGUAGGGUGCGAGCGUUAAUCGGAAUUACUGGGCGUAAAGGGUGCGCAGGCGGUUGAGUAAGACAGAUGUGAAAUCCCCGAGCUUAACUCGGGAAUGGCAUAUGUGACUGCUCGACUAGAGUGUGUCAGAGGGAGGUGGAAUUCCACGUGUAGCAGUGAAAUGCGUAGAUAUGUGGAAGAACACCGAUGGCGAAGGCAGCCUCCUGGGACAUAACUGACGCUCAGGCACGAAAGCGUGGGGAGCAAACAGGAUUAGAUACCCU